GUAGGUGAACCUGCGGAAGGAUCAUUACAACGUAUCCACGUAUCAACCAAAUGUGAACCUCCCCAUCCGGAGCAAAACUCAGUGUGUCGCUAAUGGCUGAACUGUUAAAGUGGCGCUUUCACAGAUGGAAAAGCUGGACCUAAUACGUCUGGCCUUUUGAAAGCGUCCGUUCGGUCGUCGGCUCUGUCUUAACAACAGAGCUGAGGCUUCCUUUUGCUUCAGAUGCGGUAUAAAUGUCCGCCCAUCUGCG
rnacentral:misc_RNA from 1 species